rnacentral:rRNA from 1 species
AUUGAACGCUGGCGGCAGGCCUAACACAUGCAAGUCGAACGAGUGGCGGACGGGUGAGUAAUGUCUGGGAAACUGUCCGUUGGAGGGGGAUAACUACUGGAAACGGUAGCUCAUACCGCAUACCAUCGGAUGUGCGCAGAUGGGAUUAGCUAGUAGGUGGGGUAACGGCUCACCUAGGCGACGAUCCCUAGCGGGUCUGAGAGGAUGACCAGCCACAAUGGAACUGAGACACGGUCCAGACUCCUACGGGAGGCAGCAGUGGGGAAUAUUGCACAAUGGGCGCAAGCCUGAUGCAGCCAGGCCGCGUGUAUGAAGAAGGCCUUCGGGUUGUAAAGUACUUUCAGCGAGGAGGCGUUACUCGCAGAAGAAGCACCGGCUAACUCCGUGCCAGCAGCCGCGGUAAUAC